GCCGAAGUGAAGUGGCGGAAUUGGUAGACGCGCUUGACUCAAAAUCAAGUAUUCGCAAGGAUGUGCCGGUUCGAGUCCGGCCUUCGGUA
rnacentral:tRNA from 1 species